CUUCCCCGCGUUUUUCUCUCUCUCUCUCUCCCCGAGCUAUCGCUCUCUCUCUCUCUCUCUAUAGCCUGCAACUCCGGCUCUCUCCCUCCUCCGGCCACCUCACGACGCAAAGCAAGCAUCUUUGGACUCGUCUCCGCUCCUUCUAGGCGCCGGUGGUGGUAGCUCACGGCGGUUUGGCCGAAAAACGACGCAUCGGCCCGUGGAAGUUUACUGUAGCAAAAGGAGUCAACGCCGAUUUCUCCCAAUUCCGGCCACCCCAGACGAGAAAGUUGGGUUCUUUAGAAGCGCCUUGAGUCACAGAAGAUGUAUCCCAAGUCUUGUGCAGCGAUUUGAGGCGUGGAGGAAGAAUCAAACGUUUGAAAUUUUGAGUUACUAUUCACGGUUCGAGUUCAAUCUUCCCUUUAAUUGUUGAGGACGAGGUAUUGACUCAUCGCUUGACGAGGAUCCUUACGCUUGGAUAUCACGUUAGCUGUAUACUUCUGCAGAGUAGCGGGUUCGACAUAGUAGGAUUCGGGGCAUAGCACCUGCUGCUGUUGUUUUCAUAUUGUAGGUUAAUCAUUGAACCUACUUGUAUUAUGAAUUCUUAAUUUUCUUUAGAUUGCUCUGAUAACCUGUGGGACAAUUGUUGUAAAGUUUGGGUGUUGCCUUUGUGUAUGUUGGAUUAUGUUGUAAUGUUCGGUUUUUAGUUGUAAAUUGUGGAGUUGUUGUGAUUUGGGGAGCAGGGCGGCUCCAGAAGAAUAAGGAUGGGUUAUUAGAAGUGUGAAUGUGUUUUUACAGGUUUUGGGUAGUCCAUUUUAGGGGUGACUCUGCCGAAUUUUUGGUAGAGUUAUUCCUAAGGUGGGCCCCACAGGGCCACCUUGGAUUUCAGGGUGAAAUUCGGGGCGGGUCCUGUUAGAUUCCCUCUCCUUCUUGCUCUUGAAGAGUUAAUGAUAAAAGAUAGUGAAGCUUGUAUUAUGUAUUGUGUGAAUAGGUGGAGUGGAUGGAGAAAAUGAUGAUAGCUAGAACAAUCAAUUACAUUUUGAAUUUUGUACCUCAUAAGUCUUCUACGUGAUUCUAAGUUACUCAUGCAAUUCAAGGUGUAAUGUAUGAUAUGUACAAAGAAUGU